rnacentral:rRNA from 1 species
CGGUCCCAUUCCGAACCCGGAAGCUCAGCCCUACAGCGCCGAUGGUACUGCCCUGGAGACGGGGUGGGAGAGUAGGACGCCGCCGGAC